CUGCUCGGUGAAUUAUUUUAACAGCCGCGGUACUCUGACCGUGCAAAGGUAGCAUAAUCAUUUGCCUUAUAAUUGAAGGCUAGUAUGAAUGGUUUGACGAGAAUUAAGCUGUCUCUUUUCAAUUAAAUAUAAUUUUAUAUACAGGUGAAGAAGCCUGUAUUUCAUUGAAAGACAAGAAGACCCUAUCGAGCUUUAAGAAAUUUAUAGGACCUGCUUAAUAUUGUAUAGAUAACCAGGACCAAUAAAAACUUUGGUUGGGGCGACUGAGGAACAAAUAAAGCUUCCUUUAAAUUAUAAAAACUUACUAGUAUUGAUCCAGUAUAUUUGAUUAAAGGAAUUAGUUACCGUAGGGAUAACAGCAUAAUCCUCUUUGAGAGUUCUUAUCGAAAAGGGGGUUUGUGACCUCGAUG
rnacentral:rRNA from 1 species